UACGUAGGGGGCGAGCGUUAUCCGGAAUUACUGGGCGUAAAGCGCACGCAGGCGGUUCGCCAAGUUUGGAGUGACAGUUGUCGGCUCAACCGACAAAGGACUUCAAAAACUGGUGAACUUGAGGACGAGAGAGGAACAUGGAACUCCAGGUGUAGUAGUGAAAUGCGUAGAUAUCUGGAAGAACACCAAUGGCGAAGGCAAUGUUCUGGCUCGUUUCUGACGCUCGGGUGCGAAAGCCAGGGGAGCGAACGGG
rnacentral:rRNA from 1 species